GCGCCGGGGGCGCGCGCGCGUGCGCCGGGGGUCUCCCGCGACGAGGACUGUAGGGUUUGGUCCCGGUCGCCCCCUCUUUUCCGUCUCCUCGUUUUGCUUGGAGGAGCCCGGGUUGUGGCUCCGGGACCCCCGCGGUCACCUGCCGCCCCUCGCGGCUGCGGGCCCUGGAACGAACGCUCCGCCUGAGGAAAUCCGUUUCCGUGGGCUCCCGCCUCGUGCCCGCGCCGCUUUUGCCAGAUUGCCUCAUGGGUGACUUUCCUGGUACAGAAACACCUAAACAUGCGCAAGUUAGGAACAGCUGAGAGGGGAAACGCUGCACUUACUUCUUCACCCACCUUCAGGUAGGCAGGGGAAGCAGUUUUAGAAAAUUGGAAGUUAGUUUAUCCUAAGGAAACUCAUCUUCAAAUUUUUAUCGCCAAAUGAUGAUUUUGAAAGCUCUCCCUGGAGCAUGCCUGCCUUUCCCUCCCCCCAUGCGUACCAUUACCUUCCUCGCUCCCAAGCUCCAAGAGCCCUUCCUUUAUCUCUAUAACUUGGUUCCUAAGCCCAUUUCUUCUAGGAAUUACUUUUUCUAGCUCUGUGAUUUUA